AACUCUCAGCAAUGAAUAUCUUGGCUCUCAUAUCGAUGAAGAACAUAGCAAAAUAUGAUACUUAGAGCGAAUUGCAGAAUCCUAUAAACCAUCGAGUCUUUGAAUGCAAGUUACGCCCAAAGCCAUUAGGUCGAGGGCCUGUCUGCCUAGGCGUCA